UUGCUUUGGCAGCAUACAUACUAAGAUUGGAAAGAUACAGAGAGGAUUAGCUUGGCCCCUGCGCAAGGAUGACAUGCAAAUUCAUGAAGCAUUCCACAUUACA
ensembl:snRNA U6 U6 spliceosomal RNA